rnacentral:misc_RNA from 1 species
CGCACAUUGCGCCCUCUGGUAUUCCGGGGGGCAUGCCUGUCCGAGCGUCAUUGCAACUCUCAAGCAUAGCUUGGUUUUGGAUCUCACUUCGCAAGAUGUGGGUCCGAAAAGCAGUGGCUGUCCGGCGUGACUUCGAGUGUAGUAAAUUUUUCCCGCUCUGGAGCUUCAUGUCGUGACUUCCAUAACUCAAUCUUCUUCCAGAUUGACCUCGGAUCAGGUAGGGAUACCCGCUGAACUUAA